rnacentral:rRNA from 1 species
GAUGAACGCUGGCGGCGUGCUUAACACAUGCAAGUCGAACGGAAAGGCUCCUGCUUGCAGGGGUACUCGAGUGGCGAACGGGUGAGUAACACGUGGGUGAUCUGCCCCGCACUUCGGGAUAAGCCUGGGAAACUGGGUCUAAUACCGGAUAGGACAGUGGUUUGGAUGCCAUUGUGUAAAGUUUUUUCGUUGUGGGAUGAGCUCGCGGCCUAUCAGCUUGUUGGUGGGGUAAUGGCCUACCAAGGCGUCGACGGGUAGCCGGCCUGAGAGGGUGUACGGCCACAUUGGGACUGAGAUAAGGCCCCGACUCCUACGGGAGGCAGCAGUCGGGAAUAUUGCACAAUGGGCGCAAGCCUGAUGCAGCGACGCCGCGUGGGGGAUGACGGCCUUCGGGUUGUAAAAUCCUUUCGCUAGGGACGAAGCGUUAUGUGACGGUACCUAGAGAAGAAGCACCGGCUAACUACGUG